rnacentral:misc_RNA from 1 species
AACUUGCAACAAUGGAUCUCUUGGCUCUCGCAUCGAUGAAGAACGCAGCGAAAUGCGAUAAGUAAUGUGAAUUGCAGAAUUCAGUGAAUCAUCGAAUCUUUGAACGCAUCUUGCGCUCCUUGGUAUUCUGAGGAGCAUGCCUGUUUGAGUGUCAUUAAAUUCUCAACUACACUGACUUUGAUUGGUGUGGCUUGGAUUUGGGGGUUGUGGGCUUUUUGUAGUCUGCUCCCCUGAAAUUAAUUAGCGGUACCUUGGUGGAACUGUCUACAGGUGUGAUAAUUAUCUACAUCCUAGACAUCUGCUGGAAUGCUGCUUUCUAGACCUUACUUGUAUUGACAAUCUUGACCUCAAAUCAGGUAGGACUACCCGCUGAACUUAAGCAUAUCAAUAAGCGGAGGCU